CUAUGGUUUAUUGGAUCGUACCCGUUAAAUGGAUAACUGUAAUAACUCUAGAGCUAAUACAUGCCUCGAUGCCCUGACCCUGUUUGCAUGCCUAGCAAGGAGGGGAUGGGUGCACUUAUUAGAUCAGAAGCCAACCAACUGCUUGCACGUGUACAGCAGUGUGUAUGCCUGUUGUUGCGUGUGUGUGCAGUUGAGAGGAGGAGUUCGCUUCUGGUGACUCUGGAUAAUUGUUACAGAUCGCAGUCGGCCUUGAGUCGGCGACGGGUCCUUCAAAUGUCUGCCCUAUCAACUGUCGAUGGUAGGCGACCUGCCUACCAUGGUGAUAACGGGUAACGGGGAAUCAGGGUUCGAUUCCGGAGAGGGAGCCUGAGAAACGGCUACCACUUCCAAGGGAGGCAGCAGGCGCGCAAAUUACCCACUCCCGGCACGGGGAGGUGGUGACGAAAAAUACCGAUGCGGGACUCCAUUAAGAGGCUCCGUAAUCGGAAUGAGUGGACUAUAAAUCCUUUCACGAGGAUCAAUUGGAGGGCAAGUCUGGUGCCAGCAGCCGCGGUAACUCCAGCUCCAAUAGCGUAUAUUAAAGCUGCUGCAGUUAAAAAGCUCGUAGUUGGAUCUCGGUAGCAUUGUCGCCUGUUGGUAAUUGAGCGGUCAGUGUGUGAUCAUUGACGAUGGCAAUGCACAGUCUCGCUGCCAGCAGUAGCACAUAGCAUGCAUACUGCGUGUGUGCAUGUAGUGGUGGUGUUAGUGGUAGUGGUGGUUGUGAGUCGGUAGUAUAGUGUUCAUCCGCUACGCGACGCAGUCGGUGCACGUGUUGGUGGGUGAGUAUGUACAUGCCAUUACUGCUGUCGCUGCUGCUAUUGCUACUGCUCUGCUCAUAGGUGGUUUUGUGUAUAUUAUGUGUUUAUGUAUGUGCGUGUGAGGAUGUGCGUGUUGUCAUGCGUUGUGGUCAUGAAGAGGCGCUGUCGUGUCAAGCCGAUAAGGUGGCGAUGUCACCUUCAAGCCAUGUCUGUGGUGUAACAACCGCAGGUGUGGACGAGUGUUAGGCGGUGUUGCUCUGCAUGCGUUGUUCGUGUAGGGCCUGUCGCCUCGUCUGCAUGCCUUUGGAUGCCCUUGAAUGAGGUGUCUGUGGGCGGAUGGCACGUUUACUUUGAACAAAUUUGAGUGCUCAAAUCAGGCCGAUGUUGCCUGAAAAGUGAUGCAUGGAAUAAUGGAAUAGGACUUCGGUUCUAUUUCGUUGGUUUUCGGAUCCGAAGUAAUGAUCAAAAGAGACAGGCGGGGACGUUUGUAUGGCUGCGCGAGAGGUGAAAUUCGUGGACCGUAGCCAGACAGACUAAAGCGAAAGCAUUCGUCAAGCAUGUUUUCAUUGACCAUGAGCGAAAGUCAGAGGCUCGAAGACGAUCAGAUACCGUCCUAGUUCUGACCAUAAACGAUGCCAACUGACGAUCCGUGGUGGUAGCAGUAUUACCUUCCCCACGGGCAGUCCCCGGGAAACCGUUAAGUGUAUGGGUUCCGGGGGAAGUAUGGUUGCAAAGCUGAAACUUAAAGGAAUUGACGGAAGGGCACCACCAGGAGUGGAGCCUGCGGCUUAAUUUGACUCAACACGGGAAAACUCACCCGGGCCGGACACUAUGAGGAUUGACAGAUUGAGAGCUCUUUCUUGAUUUGGUGCUUGGUGGUGCAUGGCCGUUCUUAGUUGGUGGAGCGAUUUGUCUGGUUAAUUCCGAUAACGAACGAGACUCCAGCCUACUAAUUAGUGCAUUUGUCCACUGCACCUGCGAAGGUGAUGUUGGAUAAUAUCGCUUGCCAUGAGUGGUGGUGAGUGGCUCUACUCGUUCCUAUCUGCUACUACUGCAUUCUACUUCUCUCUCUCUCUCUCUCUCCAUGGCUCUCGCAUUCUCCAUCGUCUGCUGCUACUGCUAGCGGUAGUGGUGGUGGAGUGUUGAGUUUAGGGGGAGGGCUUGAGGUGUGUGUGUGUAUGUGUGUAGGGUGGAUGGGUGGGUGGGUGGGGUUAUUGUCACUUCUGGUGGUAAGGUUGAUUAGUCCGGCGUUAGCCUCCGGGUGUGGCGCGAAUGCCUACUUCUUAGAGGGACAAGCGGGAGAAGCCGCACGAAAUAGAGCAAUAACAGGUCUGUGAUGCCCUUAGAUGUCCGGGGCCGCACGCGCGCUACAAUGACGGUGUCAACGAGUUAGACCUUCUGGCCCGAAAGGGUUGGGCAAACUGGUCAAUCACCGUCGUGACAGGGAUCGGGGCUUGGAAUUGUUCCCCGUGAACGAGGAAUUCCUAGUAAGUGCAAGUCAUAAGCUUGCGCUGAUUACGUCCCUGCCCUUUGUACACACCGCCCGUCGCUACUACCGAUUGAAUGGUUUAGUAAGGUCCUUGGAUUGGCGUCAUUGUGGCGCUGUGGCUGAGAGGUCGCGGUCCACGCACGCAUGCCAAGAAGACGACCGAACUUGAUCAUUUAGA
rnacentral:rRNA from 1 species